GACGAACCUGACAAACGUUAUUCGGAAUUACUGGGCUUAAAGGGUGCGUAGGCUGUGCAGAAAGUUGGGUGUGAAAUCCCUCGGCUCAACCGAGGAACUGCGCUCAAAACUACUGUGCUUGAGGGAGACAGAGGUAAGCGGAACUGAGGGUGGAGCGGUGAAAUGCGUUGAUAUCCACAGGAACACCAGUGGCGAAAGCGGCUUACUGGGUCUCUUCUGACGCUGAUGCACGAAAGCUAGGGGAGCAAACGGG
rnacentral:rRNA from 1 species